rnacentral:rRNA from 1 species
UACGUAGGGGGCAAGCGUUUGUCCGGAUUUAUUGGGCGUAAAGAGCGUGUAGGCGGCCAGACAGGUCAGCUGUGAAAACUCGAGGCUCAACCUCGAGACGUCGGUUGAAACCGUCUGGCUAGAGUCCGGAAGAGGAGAGUGGAAUUCCCGGUGUAGCGGUGAAAUGCGCAGAUAUCGGGAAGAACACCCGUGGCGAAGGCGGCUCUCUGGGACGGUACUGACGCUGAGGAGCGAAAGCGUGGGUAGCAAACAGG